UACGUAGGGUGCGAGCGUUAAUCGGAAUUACUGGGCGUAAAGCGUGCGCAGGCGGCUUUGCAAGACAGAUGGGAAAUCCCCGGGCUCAACCUGGGAACUGCAUUUGUGACUGCAAGGCUAGAGUACGGCAGAGGGGGAUGGAAUUCCGCGUGUAGCAGUGAAAUGCGUAGAUAUGCGGAGGAACACCAAUGGCGAAGGCAAUCCCCUGGGCCUGUACUGACGCUCAUGCACGAAAGCGUGGGGAGCAAACAGG
rnacentral:rRNA from 1 species